rnacentral:rRNA from 1 species
UACAGAGGUCCCAAGCGUUGUUCGGAUUCAUUGGGCGUAAAGGGUGCGUAGGCGGCGCGGUAAGUCGGGUGUGAAAUCUCGGGGCUUAACUCCGAAACUGCAUUCGAUACUGCCGUGCUUGAGGACUGGAGAGGAGACUGGAAUUUACGGUGUAGCGGUGAAAUGCGUAGAUAUCGUAAGGAAGACCAGUGGCGAAGGCGAGUCUCUGGACAGUUACCGACGCUGAGGCACGAAGGCCAGGGGAGCAAACGGG